CACCGGCGCGUGGGCGUGUUUCGACGAAUUCAAUCGAAUCGAUAUUGAAGUGCUAUCUGUCGUAGCGCAGCAAAUUAUGACCAUUCAAAAAGCACAACAGGUACAAGCAAGCAAGCAUUAUAUCAGAUCUCUUCUCGGGAUUUAUUGAAAAACCAAUAAAUUAUGAGAACUUAGAAGCAGGCAUUCGUAGAUCUAUUAACCAAAUGGGUUUAGAAGACGUCAAUGAAUUCGUGAGAAAGGUAGUACAUCUGUACGAAACUACAUUGAUGCGAAACGGAUAAUGCCCAUAGGUUCAACCACCGGUUCAGGAAAAACUGCGGUAAGUAAUGAACAAUUUACGGAAGACAUUUUUUUGUUUUCAAUAGAGUUGAAGAUAAAAAAUAUUGUUCCAAUUUCUUGGCUAAGCUUAUUAGUAUUCAAAUUUUUUGUUUAAUAUCGCGACACAUUCUAAAAAAAAGAUUUAUUUCUAGCUGUAAGCAUAAUAAAAAUCUAUUCAAAU